UGCCUUUCUUGGUCUGUCCCCAGUCCAGUUUCUUUGCUGUAUUGGAAAAUGUGGAAAAAAUGCAUGAAUUUAAGUGGCAAAAUGUAACACCUGAACACAUAAUUUUACUCCCGUCCAAGAAUAUACGCAAAUCAUCAGACCGGAAAAGGCCAUGUGUUGAUCGUGUCCCAGAGGAGCAUCAUCCGCGCACAGGUGAGACCCGACGGAGUGACGUCACGGGCGUCACGCAGGUGAGCGCGCGUCGCUGGGCGUUGACUUGUUGUGUAGAGACCCGUUAUUCAGGAUCUUCAUCUCUUCUCUGGUACUUUCUGGGUGAGGAAAGAGUCACACAUGCGUUCAGCACGAUUUAGUGUCAAACUAAAACUGAGUUCAAAGAUGCCACACUUAAGAACAAUGACUUUACUAUAUGGCUCCGCGUUAUCGUCCGGGCAGAACUAUUGUUCCAGCCACCAAAGACAGAUUCACAAAUAACCUGCCUGAUUUAUCUCAACUGCUCUGUGUACCAAUAAGUACACAUGAACUAGACGAAAUAACUAGCAACAUGGGCACUAUCUUCUCUAAUACAUUAGAAGCUGUUGCCCCCAUCAAAUUGAAAAAGGUUAGAGAAAAACGUACUGCGCCAUGGUACAACAGUAAUACCCAUUCUCUCAAGAAAAAAACUCGUAGUCUUGAGCGCAAAUGGAGAAAAACUAACUUGGAAGUUUUUAGAAUUGCGUGGAAAAACAGUAUGUCCAGCUAUAGACAGGCUCUAAAAGCUGCCAGGGCCGAGCAUAUCCACAAACUCAUAGAAAAUAACCAAAACAAUCCAAGGUUUGUAUUUAGCACAGUGACUAGAUUAACAAAUAACCAGACGCCACCCGAUCUAAAUAUUCCCGCACAGUUUAAUAGUAAUGACUUUAUGAAUUUCUUCACUGAUAAAAUAGAUAACAUCAGAAAUACAAUAACAAAUGUAGAUUCUACAGCGUAUAAUACUUCAGCUUCAUUCAUCGCACCAAAAGAUAAACUGCAGUGCUUUACAACUAUAGGACAGGAAGAGCUAAAUAAACUUAUCACUGCAUCUAAACCAACAACAUGCCUGUUAGAUCCUGUACCCACUAAAUUACUGAAAGAGUUGUUACCUGUAGCACAAGAACCGCUUCUCAAUAUUAUUAACUCGUCGUUAUCUUUACGUCACGUCCCAAAACCAUUCAAGCUGGCGGUUAUUAAGCCUCUUAUUAAAAAACCACAAUCCGCAGAUCCUAGUGAACUGACAAAUUACAGACCCAUCUCAAAUCUUCCUUUUAUGUCUAAAAUUUUAGAAAAAGUUGUGUCUGCUCAAUUGUGCUCCUUCCUGCAAAAAAAUGAUCUCUAUGAAGAAUUUCAGUCAGGUUUCAGGCCCCACCAUAGCACAGAAACUGCACUUGUUAAAAUUACAAAUGACAUACUUCUUGCGUCAGACCAAGGCUGCAUCUCAUUGCUAGUUUUACUUGAUCUUAGUGCUGCAUUCGAUACUAUAGAUCAUGACAUACUCAUAGAUCGAUUACAAAACUAUACAGGUAUCCAAGGGCAGGC
ensembl:lncRNA